AGAGUUUGAUCCUGGCUCAGGACGAACGCUGUCGGCGCGCCUAACACAUGCAAGUCGAACGAGAGAGAAGGAGCUUGCUUCUUCGAUCGAGUGGCGAACGGGUGAGUAACGCGUGAGGAACCUGCCUCAAAGAGGGGGGACAACAGUUGGGAACGACUGCUAAUACCGCAUAAGCCCACGGGUCGGCGAUCGACCUGAGGGAAAAGGAGGACAAUCCGCUUUGAGAUGGCCUCGCGUCCGACUUAGCUAGUUGG
rnacentral:rRNA from 1 species